rnacentral:lncRNA from 10 species
UCUAGCUCAUGUAUCAUUCUUUUGUUUAGGUCCUCAGUAUUUAUAAACAGGUCUUCUGGUCAUAAAUUAGUAUCAUAUGAGCCAUCAGUAUGAGGGAGGAAGCAAAGUGAAGAACACAGAUUUCACAGAUGGGAUGCCUGGCUCAAAUUCCAGCUUGACCGCUGGUAGCUGUGUGACCCUCGGCAAGUUACUUGACCUCUCUCUACUCAGUGUCCUCAUCUGUCAGAUUUUGGUAUCUGACUGAUGCUGUCUUCGUGGAAUGAGUUAGGAAAGAGUCCCUCCUCGUCAACUGUUGGGAAUACAUUCAGCAGGGUUGGUAUCAUUGCAUGUCUGGCAGAAUUUGACUAGGAAUCCAUCUGGUCCAGGAUUUUUUUUGUUGGUAAGUUUUUAAUUACUGACUCAAUUUCAGAACUUCUUAUUGUUCUGCUUAGGUUUUCACUUUCUUCCUGGUUUAGUCUUAGGAGAUUGUAUGUUCCAGGAAUUUAUCCAUUUCCUCUAUAUUUUCUAAUUUGUGUGCAUAGAAUUUUCAUAAUACUUUCUGCAGAUCUUUUCUAUCUCUGUGUAAGCAGUUUUAAUGUCAUCUUUGUCAUUUCUGAUUGUACCUAAUUUGGAUUUUUUUGUUAAUUGGUUAAUUAAUCUUAUUUAUUAUUUUGAAUAACUGAUUCCUGUUUCCAUUGAUCUUUUAUAGGGACUUUUGCAUAUCAAUUUUAUUUUGCUCAUCUCUAAUUUUAGUUAUUUAUUUUCUUCUGUUAGCUUUGGAGUUGGUUUGUUCUUUUCUAGUUUAUCUAGGUGCAAUGUUAGAUUGUUAAUUUGAGAUCUUUCUAAC